GAUGAACGCUGGCGGCGUGCCUAACACAUGCAAGUCGAACGGAGUAUUUCGGAUGAAGUUUUCGGAUGGAUUUUGAGAUACUUAGUGGCGGACGGGUGAGUAACGCGUGGGCAACCUGCCCCAUACCGGGGGAUAACAGCCGGAAACGGCUGCUAAAACCGCAUACGAUGCAGAAGUCGCAUGACUUUUGCAUGAAAUAUUCAUAGGUAUGGGAUGGGCCCGCGUCUGAUUAGCUAGUUGGUGAGGUAACGGCUCACCAAGGCGACGAUCAGUAGCCGGCUUGAGAGAGUGACCGGCCACAUUGGGACUGAGACACGGCCCAAACUCCUACGGGAGGCAGCAGUGGGGAAUAUUGCACAAUGGGGGAAACCCUGAUGCAGCGACGCCGCGUGAGUGAAGAAGUAUUUCGGUAUGUAAAGCUCUAUCAGCAGGGAAGAAGAAAGACGGUACCUGACUAAGAAGCCCCGGCUAACUACGUGCCAGCAGCCGCGGU
rnacentral:rRNA from 1 species